AUUGAACGCUGGCGGCAUGCCUUACACAUGCAAGUCGAACGGCAGCACGGGUGCUUGCACCUGGUGGCGAGUGGCGAACGGGUGAGUAAUACAUCGGAACGUACCUUAUCGUGAGGGAUAACGCAGCGAAAGUUGCGCUAAUACCGCAUACGCCCUGAGGGGGAAAGCGGGGGACCGUAAGGCCUCGCGCGAUUAGAGCGGCCGAUGUCUGAUUAGCUUGUUGGUGAGGUAAAAGCUCACCAAGGCGAUGAUCAGUAGCUGGUCUGAGAGGACGAUCAGCCACACUGGGACUGAGACACGGCCCAGACUCCUACGGGAGGCAGCAGUGGGGAAUUUUGGACAAUGGGGGCAACCCUGAUCCAGCAAUGCCGCGUGAGUGAAGAAGGCCUUCGGGUUGUAAGCUCUUUUGUCAGGGAAGAAACAGCAGCUCUAACACAGUCUGCGAAUGACGGUACCUGAAGAAUAAGCACCGGCUAACUACGUGCCAGCCGCCGCGGUAA
rnacentral:rRNA from 1 species